rnacentral:tRNA from 1 species
GCCUGUUUAGCUCAGAGGUCAGAGCCUCGCACUUGUAAUGCGAUGGUCAUCGGUUCGACUCCGAUAACGGGCU